GCUUGAAGGAGAGGUCGGAGUCAAAGAGAACACCUAGGCAGCGAGCCUGUGUGGUGGAGCUGAUGGUAGCACCGUUGACUUGGAGGUAGACAGACACAGGAGUAACAACACUUGAGGGAAAGACCAGAAUUUCAGUUUUGGUCAAGUUUAGUUUAAGGAAGUGGGCAGCCAUCCAGUUAGAAACAGCAGAGAGCCAGUCAGAGACACUAGUCAAGAGGGAUGGGGAGAGAUCAGGAGAGGACAGGUAGAUUUGCGUGUCAUCUGCAUAGAAAUGAU